CCGUUUGGUUGAAUAAGAUGAGACUCUGUACAGCUACAGGGUUUUUAUUAUAUGUUCGCUAACAUGAGACCGAUGACCAACCUGUGUGAAGCAAGCUGCAUGUCACAGCUCAUUUGUUUUAUUUGUACAGACUGCCAACUACCAGGCUGAUAUUAAUGAGAAACCAGCAACAUGGUCCAGUUUUAAGGUAACAGAGUUGUAUAUUUAAUGAAUUGUGAUGUGUUAAAACUAGAUUCUAAUUAUGCUGGGUACUUUCCUAGCUGGGGUUUUAUUUGUAACUGGUUUAAUCUUCAUUAUCUACAAGUUGCAAAUGGUGUAAUCUGUCGGGUGGAGCCCUCUGCCAUAACACACCUCCAUGCAGUUGAGGAUGAAGACACCUUGUCAGCUGCCACCGAGAGGGAGGGUUCAUAGAGCCCUGUAGAGAUCAAUGUUAGAAGUGACCCGAGGAAGAGGGUCCAUCCACAGCCCAACUUAUUCCACUAAGCUGCUGUCCGGCCUGCGGCUUACAAUGAACCAAGACCUGGAACAGCUGACAAGCUGUACCUCCACCAACAAACAGAAACAUCACAUGUAGAAAUGGGGCACAUGAGGUUGCAGAUGAAAGAAACAAAUGUAGAACUGCUGGAACGCGAGUUAGGUGGCUGAGUCGGACGUUGCUCUCCUCUCAUUGUGGCGAUGUUAUAGAGAAUGUCACAUGCCGUAUCUGGAGUGGCUCUGAGCCUACGAAGGCACUGGAAGCGGCCUUAAUUUAUUAUGAAGAUGGCGCUGAGGAUGGCUGCUGCAUCUCAAGCUCUCUCCCUUAAUGUUAUUUUUUCCCCUUAUUUAGUCUUAUCCUUUUUUUCUUAUGCUAGAGAUAAUUACUAUGCAUCAGAUCGGUGGUGGAAAAAACUUUUUUUUUUUUUAAUCCCCACUGCCACCAGCUUACGGCUGGGAAUCUCCAUGGUGGCGCUUACCUGUUGUACCUAAGCGGCAGAGAGGGUCACAUACUGGAGUCCUGGUCCGGGUGACGAAACGAGGGAAUCGGCCUCCUCUACCGAGUAUUCUUC